rfam:Aedes aegypti strain Liverpool supercont1.983 genomic scaffold, whole genome shotgun sequence.
AUCUCUUCUCGGCCUAAAGUCUAAGAUCAAAGUGUAGUAUCGGUUCUUAUUAGCUUAACAUUUGAUAGCUCUCCUAUAGGGAGACAACAAAUGUUAAAUUUGGGUCUUCCUUA